UACGAGGGGGGCAAGCGUUGUUCGGAAUUAUUGGGCGUAAAGGGCGCGUAGGCGGUGCGGUAAGUCACCUGUGAAAUCUCCGGGCUUAACUCGGAGCCUGCAGGCGAAACUGCCGUGCUUGAGUGUGGGAGAGGGUGCGUGGAAUUCCCGGGUGUAGCGGUGAAAUGCGUAGAUAUCGGGAGGAACACCUGUGGCGAAAGGCGGCGCACUGGACCACAACUGACGCUGAGGCGCGAAAGCUAGGGGAGCAAACAGG
rnacentral:rRNA from 1 species